AAUCAACGCUGGCGGCGUGCCUAACACAUGCAAGUCGAGCGCGAAAGGGGAGCAAUCCCCAAGUAGAGCGGCGAACGGGUGAGUAACGCGUGGGUAAUCUGCCUCCGAGUGGGGAACAACAUCGGGAAACUGGUGCUAAUACCGCAUAACAUCGUCGGGUUUUCGGAUCUGACGAUCAAAGCCGGGGACCGCAAGGCCUGGCGCUUGGAGAGGAGCCCGCGUCCGAUUAGCAGUUGGUGGGGUAAUGGCCCACCAAGGCUUCGAUCGGUAGCCGGCCUGAGAGGGCGGACGGCCACACUGGGACUGAGACACGGCCCAGACUCCUACGGGAGGCAGCAGUGGGGAA
rnacentral:rRNA from 1 species